rnacentral:rRNA from 1 species
AGUGGCGGACGGGUGAGUAACGCGUGAGAAUCUACCUUCAGGACGGGGACAACAGCUGGAAACGGCUGCUAAUACCCGAUAUGCCGAAAGGUGAAAAGUUUUUUCGCCUGGAGAGGAGCUCGCGUCCGAUUAGCUAGUUGGUGAGGUAAAAGCUUACCAAGGCGACGAUCGGUAGCUGGUCUGAGAGGAUGAGCAGCCACACUGGAACUGAGACACGGUCCAGACUCCUACGGGAGGCAGCAGUGGGGAAUUUUCCGCAAUGGGCGAAAGCCUGACGGAGCAACGCCGCGUGGGGGAAGAAGGCUUUUGGAUUGUAAACCCCUUUUCUCAAGGAAGAACAAAAUGACGGUACUUGGGGAAUCAGCCUCGGCUAACUCCGUGCCAGCAGCCGCGGUAAUACGGAGGAGGCAAGCGUUAUCCGGAAUUAUUGGGCGUAAAGCGUUCGUAGGCGGCUGUUCAAGUCUGCUGUCAAAGACCGAGGCUCAACCUCGGGUAGGCAGUGGAAACUGGAUAGCUAGAGGUCGGUAGGGGCAGAGGGAAUUCCCAGUGUAGCGGUGAAAUGCGUAGAUAUUGGGAAGAACACCGGUGGCGAAAGCGCUCUGCUGGGCCGAACCUGACGCUGAGGGACGAAAGCUAGGGGAGCGAAUGGGAUUAGAUACCCC